rnacentral:rRNA from 1 species
GACGAACGCUGGCGGCGUGCUUAACACAUGCAAGUCGAACGGAAAGGCCCUGCUUUUGUGGGGUGCUCGAGUGGCGAACGGGUGAGUAACACGUGAGUAACCUGCCCUUGACUUUGGGAUAACUUCAGGAAACUGGGGCUAAUACCGGAUAAGAGCUCCUGCUGCAUGGUGGGGGUUGGAAAGUUUCGGCGGUUGGGGAUGGACUCGCGGCUUAUCAGCUUGUUGGUGGGGUAGUGGCUUACCAAGGCUUUGACGGGUAGCCGGCCUGAGAGGGUGACCGGCUACAUUGGGACUGAGAUACGGCCCAGACUCCUACGGGAGGCAGCAGUGGGGAAUAUUGCACAAUGGGCGGAAGCCUGAUGCAGCAACGCCGCGUGCGGGAUGACGGCCUUCGGGUUGUAAACCGCUUUCGCCUGUGACGAAGCGUGAGUGACGGUAAUGGGUAAAGAAGCACCGGCUAACUACGUG